GUUAUGGUUAAGUGGGAAACGAUGUGGGAAGGCUUAGACAGCUAGGAGGUUGGCUUAGAAGCAGCCACCCUUUAAAGAAAGCGUAAUAGCUCACUAGUCGAGUCGGCCUGCGCGGAAGAUGUAACGGGGCUCAAACCAUACACCGAAGCUACGGGUAUCACUUAGGUGAUGCGGUAGAGGAGCGUUCUGUAAGCCUGUGAAGGUGAGUUGAGAAGCUUGCUGGAGGUAUCAGAAGUGCGAAUGCUGACAUG
rnacentral:rRNA from 1 species